rnacentral:rRNA from 1 species
UACAUGGGGUGCAAACGUUGCUCGGAUUAUUGGGCGUAAAGCGCACGUAGGCGGUUCGUUAAGUCGGAUGUGAAAGCCCUCGGCUCAACUGAGGAAGUGCACCCGAAACUGGCGAGCUUGAGUACGAAAGAGGACUCGCGGAAUUCCCGGUGUAGAGGUGAAAUUCGUAGAUAUCGGGAGGAACACCGGUGGCGAAGGCGGCGAUUGGGUCGAUACUGACGCUGAGGUGCGAAAGCGUGGGGAGGCAAACAGGGAUUGAGAAACCCUAAGGUAGUC